GGUAAUGUGGCCGAGUUGGUUAAGGUAAGCUCUCUGCACGAAAGAUGCAAGGGUUCGAUCCCCUUCGUUACCA